rnacentral:rRNA from 1 species
UACGUAGGGUGCAAGCGUUGUCCGGAAUUAUUGGGCGUAAAGAGCUCGUAGGCGGUCUGUCGCGUCUGCUGUGAAAACUCGGGGCUUAACCCCGGGCCUGCAGUGGGUACGGGCAGACUAGAGUGCGGUAGGGGAGACUGGAAUUCCUGGUGUAGCGGUGAAAUGCGCAGAUAUCAGGAGGAACACCGGUGGCGAAGGCGGGUCUCUGGGCCGAUAUUGACGCUGAGGAGCGAAAGCGUGGGGAGCAAACAGG